rnacentral:rRNA from 1 species
UGGGGAAUAUUGGACAAUGGGGGCAACCCUGAUCCAGCGAUGCCGCGUGUGUGAAGAAGGCCUGCGGGUUGUAAAGCACUUUCGAUGGGGAGGAGAUGUAUUUUGUAAAUAGCUUAAUACAGAGACGUUACCCAUAUAAGAAGCACCGGCUAACUCCGUGCCAGCAGCCGCGGUAAUACGGAGGGUGCAAGCGUUAAUCGGAAUGACUGGGCGUAAAGGGUGUGUAGGUGGUUUGGUAAGUUAGAUGUGAAAUCCCCGGGCUUAACCUGGGUAGGUCAUUUAAGACUGCCAGACUAGAGUACAAGAGAGGGUAGUGGAAUUUCCGGUGUAGCGGUGAAAUGCGUAGAGAUCGGAAGGAACACCAGUGGCGAAGGCGGCUACCUGGCUUGAUACUGACACUGAGACACGAAAGCAUGGGGAGCAAACAGGAUUAGAUACCCGGGUAGUCC